AACGAACGCUGGCGGCAGGCCUAACACAUGCAAGUCGAGCGCCCCGCAAGGGGAGCGGCGGACGGGUGAGUAACGCGUGGGAACGUGCCUCUUGCUACGGAAUAGCCUCGGGAAACUGGGAGUAAUACCGUAUGUGCCCUACGGGGGAAAGAUUUAUCGGCAAGAGAUCGGCCCGCGUUGGAUUAGGUAGUUGGUGGGGUAAUGGCCUACCAAGCCGACGAUCCAUAGCUGGUUUGAGAGGAUGAUCAGCCACACUGGGACUGAGACACGGCCCAGACUCCUACGGGAGGCAGCAGUGGGGAAUCUUAGACAAUGGGCGCAAGCCUGAUCUAGCCAUGCCGCGUGAGCGAUGAAGGCCUUAGGGUUGUAAAGCUCUUUCAGUGGGGAAGAUAAUGACUGUACCCACAGAAGAAGCCCCGGCUAACUCCGUGCCAGCAGCCGCGGUAAGGAGUAGUACA
rnacentral:rRNA from 1 species